rnacentral:lncRNA from 1 species
AGAAUUUCUCCGCAAGAGCUAAACAAAACAUACAUCUUCCUUAGCAUGAAUUGGACUGGGGGCGGAGUGGGAGGGCUUGGAGGAAAGGGGAAAGAAGGGACUAUAUUUGAAUAAAUAUGAAUAAAUGUAUUAGAUACUUUUCACAAUCAGAUAACUUUUAAAAAGGUCAUUUUUUAUCUUUCUAAUAAUGUAAGCCUUAAUAAAAGCAAAUCUUAGUCACAAAUUUGAGGAGACUGCCCAAUAAUAAGUUUACAUGUAUUUGAACUGAAAAAUUGUUAACCAUGCUUUUGCUCCAAGAUGUGUGAGGCCAUUCAGGGGCUGUAGGGCCCUGGAUAUACACACAAACAAGUGUGUGUAUAUCUGGAGCCCCACACAUUGUAAUAAACACAGCUGCAUUUAUUUGACUAUGUGAUCCCAUGUACAUGUAAAAACAUUCAAACAAACACACUCAGCGGAUUUAUUUAUUGUGCAAUGGGGCAAUUAUUCAAAUAAACAUGCUCAAUGCAAUUAUUUGAA